UACGUAGGUGACAAGCGUUGUCCGGAUUUACUGGGCGUAAAGAGCGCGCAGGCGGUCGAUCAAGUCGAGUGUGAAAGCCCCCGGCUCAACUGGGGAGGGUCAUUCGAUACUGAUCGACUCGAAGGCAGGAGAGGGUAGUGGAAUUCCCGGUGUAGUGGUGAAAUGCGUAGAUAUCGGGAGGAACACCUGCGAUGUAGAUGGCUUACUGGACCGUAACUGACGCUGAGGCACGAAAGCGUGGGUAGCAAACAGG
rnacentral:rRNA from 1 species